rnacentral:rRNA from 1 species
GACGAACGCUGGCGGCGUGCUUAACACAUGCAAGUCGAACGGAAAGGCCUGCUUUCCCUUGUGGAUUGCGGGUACUCGAGUGGCGAACGGGUGAGUAACACGUGAGUGAUCUGCCCCCAACUUGGGUAUAAGCCUGGGAAACUGGGUCUAAUUCCCGAUAGGACUGCAGGGUGGUGCCUGUGGUGGAAAACGAUUUUCUAGUGGUUGGGGAUGAGCUCGCGGCCUAUCAGCUUGUUGGUGGGGUAAUGGCCGACCAAGGCGGCGACGGGUAGCCGGCCUGAGAGGGUGGACAGCCACAUUGGGACUGAGAUACGGCCCAGACUCGUACGGGAGGCAGCAGUGGGGAAUAUUGCACAAUGGGCGGAAGCCUGAUGCAGCGACGCCGCGUGGGGGAUGACGGCCUUCGGGUUGUAAACUCCUUUCGACCGCGAGGAAGCCACCUGGUUGGAAGGGUGGUGACGGUAGUGGUAGAAGAAGCACCGGCUAACUACGUG